rnacentral:rRNA from 1 species
CGUGCAGGCGGUUUCUUAAGUCGGACGUGAAAGCUCCUGGCUCAACUGGGAGAGGUCGUUCGAAACUAGGGAACUUGAGGAUGGUAGAGGAGAGUGGAAUUCCCGGUGUAGUGGUGAAAUGCGUAGAUAUCGGGAGGAACACCAGUGGCGAAGGCGGCUCUCUGGGCCAUACCUGACGCUAAGACGCGAAAGCUAGGGGAGAGAACG